UCAAGUUACUUGAUGGCAUUUGCUCCAUGUGCUCAAACACAGUUACUGCAAGUUGGCCAAGUUUUUGUCGACGUUGCAGUUGAAAAAGGCCUGAAAAAGAAUGUGAUUCUCUGUUUUGUCUUGCUGUUACAGAUCUGGAGUUGGACCAGUUAAGUCUCAAGAGCCAGCAGUAAUAGAUCAGUGUAGUACCUUCCUGGAGAGCAUGAGCGUUGGCCAAAGGCAGUCAAUCACAGCACUGUUGUCGACCACGGAGCAAGAUCCCAACCAUGCAUCACCAAGUUUGUGCCCAAGGGCGUAGGCUGGACGGGUGCGGAUCCAGGGCGUUAUUUUAUUAAGGGUGUGGCAUCACUGAUACCUUACAGUUCUCCGUCAUCUUUCAACUCGGCGUCUUUGGCCGCUGCAGGCAAUGGCCACUUCCUCAGUUGGCAUGUCAACCCAACUGAAGCCCAACCACAUCUCUGCACUAAACUCUCAAGCCAUUUUCUUUCUGUUCUGAUGGCUUAUCUGAGGAAAGAAAAUCUACAGCACUGAUGCCUGACCGUUGCCUGCAUUUAAACAUCCCACAUGGUGGAGUUUCUUCCCUCGUCAACUUCCGUGCCUGCAGUACAAGGGAAUGUCCUGAUGCUGACACUAUAUGUUGGAAUCACAGAACAUGUACAUGACAGAUAUGUACACUACCAUUUGAGAGCAAUGUCUAUGAGUAUAUUAAGUCAUCUCAGAUCCCUGAUCAACUUUCUCAAGAGUGAUCAUCCAGCUGUUUCUACAUUUCUCGCUAAUGACUGACUGUUGCCUACAUUUAAACAUCCCCGUGGUGGACUUUCGUGGCUCGCCAACUUCGGUGCCUGCAGUACAAGGGAAUGUCCUGAUGCUGACUCUGUACGGCACAUGUUGCUAUCACAGAUCAUGUACACGACAGAUAUGUACACUACCAUUUGAGAGCAAUGUCUAUGGAUUCACUGUUUUGCAUUCUAUGUGGUUCCGUUGACUUACAUGCACCUUAAGCCAUCAUACAUGUAGAUCCCUGAUCGACUUUCUCAAGAGUGAUCGUCCGGUUGCUUCUACAUACCUGCACAAAAACAACAAUGAGGUCGGGUUGACGCCUGUCCACCGUGGUGUUUGGCUGGGCUUCCCUUCUCCAAUGUAGCCAGCGCAAACAGGGUGCUACCAAGCUCAAAGAUUAGAUUUGUAAACAAAAGUGUAGAAAUUAUCUUGAGAUGGUAAAGAUGGUGCUAGGUUGACUGUUUUAUUUGGAACAAUUUAGGCUUUUUGUUUGAAACAGGGAAUAUAAGUUUUUAGUUGAAGAUGCAUUUUUUGGCCAAAAAACUAGAUUGUAUGGACACCUAACACGGGUUUACAUGUAUUUUUGCCUCUUGAAAAAGAAAGUUAAGUGACACUUUCCAAAUGGCAUAGCUCAGCAAAUAAAAAACCUUCAUCCAAACAUCCAUUGAAAUCUUAAAUUCUUGAAAAACUGGAAAAAUUAGUUCAUAUCUUACUGGUUUCUAAACUGCUUUCCAUUUGUUUUCUGAACUUUCAAAAUUGUAUGCAUAAUUUUUGUCAAAGUGUAUGAAUUUCUUCAAAAUAAUUAUAAGCAGUUUCUGUAUUGCCCAUCAUAUUCCUGGAAAGUUUUAGCAAGAUAGAAUACGAUGCUAUAAUGUUAGAAUAAGAUGCUAUAAAGUUUUCUCCAAAUUAAAAACCUCAGAGGGCCUUACAUUUCAAUAUACAUUGUAAGUAGAAUCUUUCAUCUGACUUAGUAACAUGCACAUCAUAUUGAAUGAAUAUUUUUGAAGAAGUUUAAGUACAGAAAAGUUUGCAAAUAUAUUUUUUACCUACAUCGUACUGAAACACAGGCAAGGUCUGAAU
rnacentral:lncRNA from 1 species